rnacentral:sRNA from 1 species
AAAAAAAUUUAAAAUCGUCGUUCGAAAAAGUAUUUUUUUUAUAAAUAACAAUUAAAAAUAUAAAUUUGGUAAUAACGCGCCAACGGUCGAAAUUUUAAAAAACGUUUGUUAAUUUAAAAAAAAUAUAAGGGAAACGUUCGGGACGAAAAGUUUAUAACGAUUAUAAUAAUUGUAAUUUUAAACGGUAAAAUAUCGUUUUUGCGUUUGCGAAAUAUUACGGUGGUCGUUCCGGUAUUAUUAUUUCGGCCGGUUUUUAUUUCGUUUUUAAACAAUUUUUUGGCGUUAUAUAAAUUGUAAACGCGUAAAAAUAAUAUUAUAAAUUUAAAAAUAAUAAUUAGAUUGGAAAAACGUUAAAAAAAUAUUUUAAAAAAAAAAUUCCGGAACAAUUAUUAUAAAAAUAUUUUAUAUUGGUUUGCACAAAUAUCCCUAUUUAUAUUUCGUAUAAUAUCCGGAAAACGGAUCCGUAUCGAAAUAAAUUCCAAAACGACCAACCGCAAUUUGUUUUUUUACAAAUAAAAAGAUAUUAGUGUCACGUAUCUGCCCGACGAUAUAACAGAUACGACAAAUGGAUCAAAAGAUCCUGCAGUACCUGCACUUAGCAGAUACCUCGUCGGUCCCAAUUAUAAAGCUUUGUCACACGAACGUGACAAUUAGCGGUGCGAAAAAAAACAAAAAGGACCAAAAAAACGUACCGUCGUUAAAUAUAACGUCGAAUUUAAUUAACAAUCGGUUAAAAUAAUUGGAAAAACGAAAACGAUAAAAAGUAAACGGCAAAAAAACAAAAAUAAUAAUUUUUGGCGUUUUAAUUUAAAUGGUAAUAAUAACGAGGUAUAAAUAAAUUAAAAUAUCGUCGAAUUUAUAACGAAAAAAGCUUUUUUUUAUAAAUAAAAUAAUUAUUAAGAAAUUUGCAAUUAAUUAAAAAAACGUUGUAAUCGUCGAAUAAUAAAAUAAAUAAAUAAUAAAAACGUUAAACAAAAUUAUUUAUACCUAUUAUUUUCGGGGGUACGCUGUAACCUAAAUAACGCCCACAAUAAAAAUUCCAUAACCGGUUCCGGGAAAUAUAAAAAAUUCGGCCAAAAUAACAAAAUAACGAUUAAAAAAUUUAACAAAAAUUAAAAGGUCGAUACAAUUGUUUUCAAAUUUUUCGUA